rnacentral:rRNA from 1 species
AAAGGUAGCGUAAUCAUUAGUUUUUUAAUUGAAAGCUUGUAUGAAUGGUUGGACGAGGUAAAAACUGUCUUUAUUUAAUUUAAUAUAGAAUUUAACUUUUGAGUGAAAAGGCUUAAAUUUUAUUAAUAGACGAGAAGACCCUAUAGAUCUUUAUAAAUUAUUAUUGAUUAUAUUAAGAUUAUUUAUUAGUUAAUAAUGAAAUUUAUUUUAUUGGGGUAAUAUAAAGAUUUAAUAAAUUCUUUGAAGUUUAAACAAAGAUAAUUGGUUGAUUGAUCCAUUAUUAAUGAUUAUAAGAUUAAGUUACCUUAGGGAUAACAGCGUAAUUUUUUUAGAGAGUUCAUAUCGAUAAAAAAGU